rnacentral:rRNA from 1 species
GAUGAACGCUGGUGGCGUGCCUAAUACAUGCAAGUCGAGCGAACGGACGAGAAGCUUGCUUCUCUGAUGUUAGCGGCGGACGGGUGAGUAACACGUGGAUAACCUACCUAUAAGACUGGGAUAACUUCGGGAAACCGGAGCUAAUACCGGAUAAUAUUUUGAACCGCAUGGUUCAAAAGUGAAAGACGGUCUUGCUGUCACUUAUAGAUGGAUCCGCGCUGCAUUAGCUAGUUGGUAAGGUAACGGCUUACCAAGGCAACGAUGCAUAGCCGACCUGAGAGGGGGGCCGCCAACACUGAAACGGAAACCGGGCCCAACCUCCACCGGGGGGAGCAAGAGGGGAUUCUUCGGCAGGGGCCGAAGGCCUGACGGACCAACGCGGGGGGGGUAAUGAAGUUCUCGGGAUCUUAAAACUUUUUUAUGGGGGAAAAACAUAUGUGAAAGAAACUGUGCACAUCUGACGGGUCCCUAAUAAGAAGGCCACGCCUAACUCCGUC